AAACGAUGGAUGCCCGUUUUUGGCUUAUAAAGUCAGAGACCAAGCGAAAGCAUUAAGCAUCCCACCUGGGGAGUACGCCGGCAACGGUGAAACUCAAAGGAAUUGACGGGGGCCCGCACAAGCGGAGGAACAUGUGGUUUAAUUCGAUGAUACGCGAGGAACCUUACCCGGGCUUGAAUUGCCAGUGAACGAGAUAGAGAUAUCGAGGCCCUUCGGGGCGCUGGUGAAGGUGCUGCAUGGCUGUCGUCAG
rnacentral:rRNA from 1 species